GUGAAGUGGCAGUGGACUAGAGAACUCUGACAAAGCAAUUCUCUGGCCUAUUUUCAUCAGCCUCUGAAGCUGGGAAAUCAGCUUCAACUUAAGCAGAAAAGGUGAUCUCAGUUCAAGAAUACAGCAAGGGGGUCAAUUCUUCAAAGGCACAUUAAUAGCCCAGAAACUUUGUCAGCCCUACUGGAAGAGUUUAAUGAGCAUUAUUUCAGAACAGAAAUGGUAUUUACAUAGAUCUCCAGUAUCUGCAGUGGUUUACUUUCAUCACAUCUUGCAUGCUAUUAGGAUUUGGAAGGCACGUAUUUCUCGCAUGUGGAUAAAUUAAUUGAGGACCUUGUACACUCUGGAAUUUCGUGGAUUGGGCGAAUGUGGCAGGGCACUGAACUAGCAUGGGAGAACGGCAGGAAACUUUAGCGGAAGAGUUCUCCCAGCUCAACAAUGAGAUGGCUUCCAGUGGAGUGGCAGUCUUGGCCCGGCAUGGUGGUCUUCUUCAGCAGACGCUUUUGGCCCAGUAUUCCAGCAGCCCGCAUGGCAGUCUCAUCUCGGUAUGGCAUUCUCAUCAAGGAAUAGUGGUCUCAUCCUGGCUGUGUGUUCCAGGUAUUCCAUCAUUCCUUAAUUGGUUUUCCGCGAGCACUGGAGCCACUUACUGAACUGUGAUGAACUUUGUCUUAAUUUUACUCUGUUAUUAUUAUUUAUGACAUCUGUCAUUA